UACGGAGGUGGCAAGCGUUGUUCGGAAUUACUGGGCGUAAAGGGCGCGUAGGCGGCUUGGCAAGUCAGGUGUGAAAGCCCCGGGCUUAACUCGGGAACUGCAUCUGAAACUGCUUUGCUUGAGUCAUGGAGGGGGUAGUGGAAUUCCAGGUGUAGCGGUGAAAUGCGUAGAUAUCUGGAGGAACACCGGUGGCGAAGGCGGCAUCCUGGACCGGCAUUGACGCUGAGGCGCGAAAGCCAGGGGAGCAAACGGG
rnacentral:rRNA from 1 species